GUGCACGCUGGCGGUAGGCCUAACACAUGCACGUCGCACGGCAGCACAGUAAGAGCUUGCUCUUACGGGUGGCGAGUGGCGGACGGGUGAGGAAUACAUCGGAAUCUACUUUUUCGUGGGGGAUAACGUAGGGAAACUUACGCUAAUACCGCAUACGACCUACGGGUGAAAGCAGGGGAUCUUCGGACCUUGCGCGAUUGAAUGAGCCGAUGUCGGAUUAGCUAGUUGGCGGGGUAAAGGCCCACCAAGGCGACGAUCCGUAGCUGGUCUGAGAGGAUGAUCAGCCACACUGGAACUGGGACACGGUCCAGACUCCUACGGGAGGCAGCAGUGGGGAAUAUUGGACAAUGGGCGCAAGCCUGAUCCAGCCAUACCGCGUGGGUGAAGAAGGCCUUCGGGUUGUAAAGCCCUUUUGUUGGGAAAGAAAAGCAGCAGGUUAAUACCCCGCUGUUCUGACGGUACCCAAAGAAUAAGCACCGGCUAACUUCGUG
rnacentral:rRNA from 1 species